CGGAAGCAGCUGCAGCGGCUCAGGGAGACGGGGCGACUUCAGUCCGUCACUGAAACAUUAUAGCUGCUUCAGAUGGGAAAGUUCGGAGCUCGUUUUUCGGGUGUAGGGGAGUCCGUGCGGACCGUGUGAGGAGAAGCUAAUGCUUCUGAUCUGCAGCUCAUCCACCCCCCGUCUGCUUCACCAUGCCACUGGUCUUGGAUGCCGUGUGGGCGCUGUGGAGCAUUGGAGCUGGUAUCUAUGACUACUUCCAUACCAGCGCAAUGGAGGAGAGGAUCCACACGCUGGAGAACCUCCUCUCUAUCCACCAGUGUGUGAUCACAGCCCUGUCUGCAGGCUUCAUCCUGCUCAUGAUGUACAUACUGUGGAGAAAACACUAAAACCUCACCGACCUGGGCAACUGCUGCUACUAAAUGUUGUUAUGCCGCAGGACAUCUUUUUUUACCUAGGCUUAUUUCCUUCCAGGUGUUGGCACAGGGACAUUCUGAUUCAUACAGCUGUUCACACUUGAGGAUGACACGUGUUCAAUGAAGGUGUCCAAGGUGAGGUCAGGAGCACUGAAGAGCAACUAAACCGAGGACUAUGGCUCCAUAAGUACAUCUUGCCCCUGAAAACUUGUUGUUAGUUGAGCUGCGUCUGUCUGUGUAUUUUUUUAUGUUACACUUGCCUGAGUCAUCUACAAACCAGUAUCCACAUUAACACGAAAUCACACCUGCUUCUCAAGGCAACUUUAGCACUUUGACUUUUUUUUGCCGAGCUUGAGAGAAUUCAAUGUCCAGAGAUUUUACAACCUUUGAUUUGUUACAGAAGCAAAGUGCCACUAGAGUUGCCACUAAGUUUUCUAGCCCUGUUAUCACAAUGUGGUUACUUUGUUUUCAAAGAUCAGCCAUGAUGGCUUUUUUUUUUUUUACAUAUCAGCUCUUUUUUUUGUCUGAGUUUAUGAUAUUAUUUCACCAUCUUCAAGUCGUCAUUACAACUUUAUUAUUUCGGUCCAGUCUCCUCUGUUAUCUCUGCUAUGUUCUCUCCUCAGAUCUCAAAAAGUUGAGACGAAUAAUAACAAUGAAAUCCACUUUGGAUGGACCUUAAAGUGGCUAAGUCUGUUCUCUGGAGCUAUUGAUGCAUUUAAGUUCACUGAGCAGUGUCUAAAGAAAAUAACCUUUCAGUUGAAUAUGUAUAGCUGCUUUCAGACAUAUACUGAAGAGAUUCAAGAGAUUGUGAUGAUAUAAGGGCUGACACGAGUUCCUGUUCUUUCCACAGUAGGAAUUAUAUAUUUUUUCAUAUUUGAAAGAUAAACUCCAGAAAAUGUCCCAACCAAAGUUUCUGGACAUUCUCCAGAGUUUGUGUCUGAUAAAAGCUUAUGUCCGGCAGGUGGUAGGCAGAACAAGGAGAAUAUGUCGCGGCUGUUAAACUCUGGGUGUUUUACGGUUUUAACUACAGUAGAAUAAGAGAAGAUAAACACUAAAUUCCAACACUGGGAAAUGAAUUAAUCUGUUGUGGUUCUUUUUCUUAUAUGGGUUUUGGAACUGCAGCUUGUGUGUGUGUGUUUGCGUUCACAUUUUUAUCAACCAUAUUUCCAGGAUAUGUCAUUCAGGAAUCCUUUUGUUUUUCACACUCUUAAAAAAUGUGAUCAGAUGAUCUAAUCAGAUGUAUUGAUUCCUUUCUAACUCUCUGUACUGCAUCUACUACUGGACAGACCUCGGCCAUGGCUUCUACUAAUGGGAAUAUUUUUGGAUAAUAAGCCAGAACUUUGCUUUUGCCCACUUGUUUGUUUUAAAUUACAUUUUUCUUUCCUGUCAUUUUAACUGAGUCGUUUUUAAAUGGAAUAAAUUAAAUUAUGUUAAAUAAUG